rnacentral:rRNA from 1 species
GUUGGGGGCAUCAGUAUUCUGAAGCGAGAGGUGAAAUUCUUGGACCUUCGGAAGACUAACAACUGCGAAAGCAUUUGCCUAGGAUGUUCUCUUUAAUCAAGAACGAAAGUUGGGGGAUCGAAGACGAUCAGAUACCGUCGUAGUCUCAACUAUAAACUAUGCCAGCUAGGGAUUGGUGGACGUUUAUUUACGACUCCAUCAGCACCUUAUGAGAAAUCAAAGCAUUUGGGUUCCGGGGGGAGUAUGGUCGCAAGGCUGAAACUUAAAGGAAUUGACGGGAGGGCACCACCAGGAGUGGAGCCUGUGGCUUAAUUUGACUCACACGGGAAAACUUACCAGGUCCGGACAU